GGCUAACAUACUCUUUGGACAUCAUUGUUGCCAAACCCUUCCGAUGUUAUUUUACAUCAGUAGGAUACUAUUUUUCAAAAAGUAACAAUUGCCCAAAAAUACAGAUCUUAAUUGCAAAUUUUCCAACCCAAUCUUCCACAGUACUAUUCAGCCCCGACCACGGGCACUGCUUUUUUUAUUAUUUUCCCCAAAGUUAAAGGCCCGCGAAAAAACUUCGUGCGCACACCCUAUUUAUACGUAUUAGUUAUUCCUUUAGAAUUGCUACACAUCGUGUGGGUACCGAUUGUACGCAACCCUAGCAUAGCAUAAUGUACGUUCAAUUUUGAACGAAAAUGCUGAAUGCAAACUUCCGACGACGCUAUAUUAUGACUGUACGUCGCUGAGCUUACUCUACAGAGUGUUUUCAUGGCGACCAUGUUCAGGAACAAAUCUGGAGCGAUAUUGAAUACACAUUUCUUUUUUUUAAAAGCGAGUUUGCUCCUUAAUAAACCAACAUAAAAACACUCUAACCCUGGCGGUCUUUUCAUUAGAAAUAAUGCCGUAUUUACACUUAAUGCGCUUGUAAAUUGUCGUUACAACUUGAAUCUAAAGGCAUUUGCCAGCAACGCACAAUUCAAAUUGCAAAAUUAUCAAUUUUUUGUUUUCGCAAUUUUGUGAAUUAUUAUAAAGUAUUUUACGUUUCAUGUGAGUGUCGUAUAUUGCGCAGUUUGGACGCUUCUAAACUGUCUAACUCCCUAACUAUUUUGCGCACGCGACGGACCAUAUUAUCCGCAUGCAACCGCCCUGAAAAGGAAUAUCCCUAAAGAUAUUGAGCCGGAAUAACCGCCAUAAGAGAGGGGACCUAGUCACUGGUAGCGGACUAUUUUUUCAUGAAGUAAGACCGGCUACCAGGAAAAUACAUGCUUUACCUUACUACGGGAGAGAAAAUGUUUAAAAAAACUUUGCCACCAUAAUUGUCUUAUUCUCGCCGAUCCAAAGGACCAACAUGAUUUCCACCAAGUCUUCUUACGGGUACCAUUUGCACCCUCUAAGCUAUGGGUACCAUUUGUACCCCCUAACCCCAAGACAAACGAUGCCAGUUUUUUGAAGAAAAAAAAUGUUUAGAUGAGGAAAGUGACAAAUUUCUU